rnacentral:tRNA from 1 species
AGAAACUUAGUUUAGUAAUAAAUAUAAGGUUGUCAACUUUAAGAGGCCAAUGGCAGUUUCUU